rnacentral:rRNA from 1 species
AACGAACGCUGGCGGCAUGCCUAACACAUGCAAGUCGAACGAGACCUUCGGGUCUAGUGGCGCACGUGUUCGUAACGCGUUUUAACCUGCCCUUAGGUUCGGAAUAACUCCCCUAAAUGGGUGCUAAUACCGGUUAAUUUCUUCUUACCAAAGAUUUAUCGCCUUUGGAUGGUCCCGCGUUGGAUUAGCUAUUUGGUAGGGUAAAAGCCUACCAAGGCGAAGAUCCAUAGAUGGUUUGAGAGGAUGAUCAGCCACACUGGGACUGAGACACGGACCAGACUACUACGGGAGGCAGCAGUGGGGAAUAUUGGACAAUGGGCGAAAGCCUGAUACAGCAAUGCCGCGUGAGUGAUGAAGGCCUUAGGGUUGUAAAGCUCUUUUACCCGGGAUGAUAAUGACAGUACCGGGAGAAUAAGCUCCGGCUAACUCCGUG